rnacentral:tRNA from 1 species
GGUGUCGUAGCUCAAUGUUAGAGCACUGCCCUGAUACGGCAGCGGUUCCAGGUUCAAGUCCUGGCGACACCA